rnacentral:misc_RNA from 2 species
AACGCACAUUGCGCCCAUUAGUAUUCUAGUGGGCAUGCCUGUUCGAGCGUCAUUUCAACCCCUAAGCACAGCUUACUGUUGGGACUCUACGGCCCCCGUAGUUCCCCAAAGCCAUUGGCGGAGUGGCAGUAGUCCUCUGAGCGUAGUAAUUCUUUAUCUCGCUUUUGUUAGGCGCUGCCCCCCCGGCCGUUAAACCCCCCAAUUUUUUCUGGUUGACCUCGGAUCAGGUAGGAAUACCCGCUGAACUUAA